rnacentral:rRNA from 1 species
UACAGAGACUGCAAGCGUUAUUCGGAUUCACUGGGCGUAAAGGGUGCGUAGGCGGUCUUGUGCGUCGGCGCUGAAAUCACACGGCUCGACCGUGUGGCGCGUGCCGAUACGACGAGACUUGAGGCUCUGAGAGGGUGGCGGAACUCCUGGUGUAGUGGUGAAAUGCGUAGAGAUCAGGAAGAACACCCGUGGCGCAAGCGGCCACCUGGCAGAGUUCUGACGCUGAGGCACGAAAGCGUGGGGAGCGAACCGG